rnacentral:lncRNA from 1 species
GUAAGCUGAUGCUGGGUUUCAUUGCAAGACAACACCACCCAUGGCAAUAUUCACCAUAAAAGCAAAAGUGGCAAACCAUAUAUGUAUGAGUUGUAUGGAAAAGUAGUAAAUCUUGGCAGUUUAUUUCAUAACAAUGACCUUUGUGUUCGGUGCACCGCAAGUAAAUAAGAUGAAUGAUGUGCUCACUCACUAGUUCAACUUUAACUCCCUUUAAAUGCUGUUUGCAUGGCUACAUGGACCUAAAGACUUAAGAAAGGAACUUCAUAGGAAUUGCAAGUGGAUUAAAGCAACAAAUGUUGCAAAGGUUUGGUAUAAUAUUGACAACGAAAAUGCUGCUGAUACAAAUGUUUCUGUGCCAAUGUUGGUUAACUAAAUGUUGACUAGUAUUUUGUUGCAAGGUACAAUUCUCGUAAGCUUUGAUUAAAUUUCAGUUUUGUAGAAGUCAAAAAAGUUUUGAAAAAUGGGAUUUCUUCUAUCGAACCGAAUCAUAAUUUGGAUCAAAGUCCAAGACCGUCACACACAUUUUUGUGGAGGACACUCAGGAUAUCUUCUACAGGAAAACUGGAACCCAACAUUUACAAUAUUU